CGUAGAGGAGGGCAGGCGGGACGGGGGCGAGCGGUCAGGGAAGCAGGUGAGGUCGGACCCGGCGGGUCGCCGCGGCAGGAAGAUGGCGGAGCUGCGCGCGCUCGUGGCUGUCAAGAGGGUCAUCGACUUCGCAGUGAAGAUCCGGGUGAAGCCCGACAAGACUGGUGUGGUCACGGAUGGCGUGAAGCAUUCCAUGAACCCCUUCUGUGAGAUCGCCGUGGAGGAGGCUGUGCGGCUCAAGGAGAAGAAGUUGGUGAAGGAAAUCAUUGCCGUCAGCUGCGGGCCUGCCCAGUGCCAGGAGACAAUCCGUACCGCUCUGGCCAUGGGUGCGGACCGGGGCAUCCACGUGGAGGUGCCUGCUGCAGAAGCGAAUCACCUGGGUCCCCUGCAGGUGGCUCGGGUCCUGGCCAAGCUGGCAGAGAAGGAGAAGGUGGACCUGGUGCUGCUGGGAAAGCAGGCCAUCGAUGAUGACUGUAACCAGACAGGGCAGAUGACAGCUGGAUUUCUCGACUGGCCACAGGGCACAUUCGCCUCCCAGGUGACACUGGAAGGGGACAAGAUCAAAGUGGAACGGGAGAUUGAUGGGGGCCUGGAGACUCUGCGCCUGAAGCUGCCUGCCGUGGUGACCGCUGACCUGCGGCUCAAUGAGCCCCGCUAUGCAACAUUGCCCAAUAUCAUGGAGAAUUUAGCAUGUCAUUUCAAGUCAUAAGGAGCAUUCAGUUUGUCAUUUAUCCAACAAGGAAAGUUCAUUGAGUCAUCAUAGCCAAUGGAAAGCCAAGAAGAAGAAGAUCGAGGUGAUUAAGGCAGGGGACCUGGGCGUGGACCUGACCUCCAAGCUCUCCGUGAUUAGCGUGGAAGACCCGCCCCAGCGCACAGCCGGUGUCAAGGUGGAGACCACAGAGGACCUGGUGGCCAAACUGAAGGAGAUUGGGCGCAUCUGAGCCCCUUCCCUGAAACCCAGCAAUAAAGCCGUGACUCUUCCGA